CCGUUGUGAUAAUUACAGCUCGACAUCUUACAUCAAACAAAGCAAGUGGGACUACUAAGCUCGUGUUGACAUGCAAAGCGGACGCCAAUCCUCCUGUCAAUACCUUCGUUUGGCUAUGCAACCAAACUGUAGUGUCUAACGACACCAACUACAGACUCACCGAGACUAUAUAUGAAGAUACAACACUAACCUCGAGCGUACUUGCGAUUCAAAACCCACUCUCCAAAUAUCAUUGUGUUUAUAAAUGCACCGCUCUAUCAGAAUACGACUCAAGAAGUGCAGAAUUCAAUUCACUUUAUUUGUAUUUUAUCCCGAAUCCACCAUCUGAUUUCAUCAUUCACCGAAAUCAGACGAGAUCUUCAUCUCUUUUCGUUGCCUGGCAACCAGGAUCAACAUUAGGAAUCUACUGUCGAUCUGAAGAGACAGAACGUUGUCACAUUGCCUAUGAUCACUGAAUGAUGACGUCUAUUUCAAUGCAUUUAAUUCUCGGUCUUUGCCUUGAAAUUAUCAUUUCACAAAGCUCUCCACCCACUUGGCUCUAUAUCAUUGAUGGAGAGGGCAUCAUUUACUACUCAAACAACAUCUCCCUAACCGUAAUAGCUGACCAACAACAAGACAUCACAUGUGAAGCAUAUGGAGCAAGGCCAACUGCAGUAUUGGAAUGGCGUUUACCUGAUGAUAUAACAGUUGUUCAUCACGAUCAGUCUGAUGAUAUUCAAGACAGCUUUUACAUCUCUCAGAAAGCCGUGACAAUCACUCCCUCAAGGGAUGACCACGGAAAGAUUAUUCGCUGCAUCGCAUCACAUCAAGAACUAUCAAAAAACCUUCAAUGCACAGUAAAUAUGAAUGUACAUGUUCUUCCUAUGAGUGUGUUCCUCUUUCCAACUGGAGGUAUCCAGUCCCGGACAAGACUCAUUUACGUUCAAGAAGAUUCACCGACUUCAAUCACAUGUAGAAGUAUUGGGUCAUUCCCAGCCACUGAACUAUCC